GGGAGGCAGCAGUGGGGAAUUUUGGACAAUGGGCGCAAGCCUGAUCCAGCAAUGCCGCGUGCGGGAAGAAGGCCUUCGGGUUGUAAACCGCUUUUGGUAGGAACGAAAAGCUCUGGGCUAAUACCCUGGGGUGAUGACGGUACCUGCAGAAUAAGCACCGGCUAACUACGUGCCAGCAGCCGCGGUAAUACGUAGGGUGCGAGCGUUAAUCGGAAUUACUGGGCGUAAAGCGUGCGCAGGCGGUUGUGCAAGACAGGCGUGAAAUCCCCGGGCUUAACCUGGGAAUGGCGCUUGUGACUGCACGACUGGAGUGCGGCAGAGGGGGAUGGAAUUCCGCGUGUAGCAGUGAAAUGCGUAGAUAUGCGGAGGAACACCGAUGGCGAAGGCAGUCCCCUGGGCCUGCACUGACGCUCAUGCACGAAAGCGUGGGGAGCAAACAGGAUUAGAUACCCUGGUAGUCCACGCCCUAAACGAUGUCGACUGGUUGUUGGGCCUUGAGUGGCUCAGUAACGAAGCUAACGCGUGAAGUCGACCGCCUGGGGAGUACGGCCGCAAGGUUGAAACUCAAAUGAAUUGACGG
rnacentral:rRNA from 1 species